rnacentral:rRNA from 1 species
UCAGGAUGAACGCUGGCGGCGUAGCCUAACACAUGCAAGUCGAACGGGACUUUACGGAUCAAGGCUUCGGCCAAGUGAAGUUAAGUUAGUGGCGGACGGGUGAGUAACGCGUGAGUAACCUGCCUUCAGAGGGGGAUAACGUUUGGAAACGAACGCUAAUACCGCAUAACGUAUUGAUGUCGCAUGGCAUUGAUACCAAAGAUUUUAUCGCUGAGAGAUGGACUCGCGUCUGAUUAGAUAGUUGGUGAGGUAACGGCCCACCAAGUCGACGAUCAGUAGCCGGACUGAGAGGUUGAACGGCCACAUUGGGACUGAGACACGGCCCAGACUCCUACGGGAGGCAGCAGUGGGGAAUAUUGCACAAUGGGCGCAAGCCUGAUGCCAGCAACGCCGCGUGAGGGAUGACGGUUUUCGGAUUGUAAACCUCUGUCUUUGGUGACGAAGAAGUGACGGUAGCCAAGGAGGAAGCCACGGCUAACUACGUGCCAGCAGCUGC